AGUUCGUUACGUCUACGCGGUGCUCUUCCUCCUUGCCAAUAUCCUCUUUGAGGGACAGCGCCGUAGCGGCUGUCACGGCGACCAUGAUUGCCUUGCAGCAGCGUGUUCCUACAUGGAGCCACGGCUAGUGGGGGCGUACAGUGUGUUCCUAUGCUUUGCAGCAAUUACAAGGUAAAAAUUAAAAUAUUCAAACUGAAUUAUAUAUGAUUGAUGUGGCUAGCCGCUAGCAAUAAUCUAGGUCAACUCCUGUUUGUUUCCCUUUGUAUUUGAAAUUUCGCCUCAACAGUGAGCCAGAGAUAGACUGCUACAAGAAAGGAAAAGCCGUUGUAAAUUGGAAAACCAUGAUAGUAAGUGCACUCUUUAUGCUGCCAUGGUUCCUAUCUACAAUACAUACAGUGAUAUUUUAUCAAAUAAUUUCAUUGAUAUUUCAACAUUGGCAGAGUUU
rnacentral:lncRNA from 1 species